UGCCAACCGGGUGUCUGCACUAAGCUCGGCAUGAAUAUGGUGACCUCCUGGGAGCAGGGGGCCACCAGGUUGCCUAAGGAUGAGUGAACUGGCCCAGAUCAGAAAGGGAGCAGUUCAGAACUCUGGCACCGACUGGUAGCAGGACUGUGCCUGGGCA
ensembl:misc_RNA Metazoa_SRP Metazoan signal recognition particle RNA